AACGCACCUUGCGCUCCUUGGUAUUCCGAGGAGCAUGCCUGUUUGAGUGUCAUUAAAUUCUCAACUCUGAUCGAUUUGUUUCGACUUCGGAGCUUGGAUUUGGAGCGUGCUGGCGUCGGUCGGCUCCUCUUAAAUGCAUCAGCGGAAUCUAACGUUUCGGAUGUCAGUGUGAUAAUCAUGUUGCGCUGUCUGUCUGAUCCGAAAGCCCGCUCACAAUGGUCUUCGGACAACUUCAUAUCAAAUUUGACCUCAAAUCAGGUAGGACUACCCGCUGAACUUAAGCAUAUCAAUAAGCGGAGGA
rnacentral:rRNA from 1 species